CCUACGGGGUGCAGCAGUGGGGAAUAUUGGGCAAUGGGCGCAAGCCUGACCCAGCAACGCCGCGUGAAGGAAGCAGGCUUUCGGGUUGUAAACUUCUUUUCUGAGGGACGAAGAAAGUGACGGUACCUCAGGAAUAAGCCACGGCUAACUACGUGCCAGCAGCCGCGGUAAUACGUAGGUGGCAAGCGUUAUCCGGAUUCAUUGGGUGUAAAGGGCGUGUAGGCGGGAAAGCAAGUCAGAUGUGAAAACUCAGGGCUCAACCCUGAGCCUGCAUUUGAAACUGUUUUUCUUGAGUGCUGGAGAGGCAAUCGGAAUUCCGUGUGUAGCGGUGAAAUGCGUAGAUAUACGGAGGAACACCAGUGGCGAAGGCGGAUUGCUGGACAGUAACUGACGCUGAGGCGCGAAGGCGUGGGGAGCAAACAGGAUUAGAUACCCUAGUAGUC
rnacentral:rRNA from 1 species